AUUGAACGCUGGCGGCAGGCCUAACACAUGCAAGUCGAGCGGAGGAAGGGAGCUUGCUCCUGGAUUCAGCGGCGGACGGGUGAGUAAUGCCUAGGAAUCUGCCUGGUAGUGGGGGAUAACGUCCGGAAACGGGCGCUAAUACCGCAUACGUCCUGAGGGAGAAAGUGGGGGAUCUUCGGACCUCACGCUAUCAGAUGAGCCAAGGUCGGAUUAGCUAGUUGGUGGGGUAAAGGCCUACCAAGGCGACGAUCCGUAACUGGUCUGAGAGGAUGAUCAGUCACACUGGAACUGAGAGACGGUCCAGACUCCUAAGGGAGGCAGCAGUGGGGAAUAUUGGACAAUGGGCGAAAGCCUGAUCCAGCCAUGCCGCGUGUGUGAAGAAGGUCUUCGGAUUGUAAAGCACUUUAAGUUGGGAGGAAGGGCAGUAAGUUAAUACCUUGCUGUUUUGACGUUACCAACAGAAUAAGCACCGGCUAACUUCGUG
rnacentral:rRNA from 1 species